GCAGUGGAUAAACCAUGACAAAAACUCAUGCAAAUGAUCAGGUUUCAAUCAUUUUAACUACCCAAAUGACUGAGAUUAGUUUCUUACUAAUGACAAAGAUUUAGUACUCACAAGUGUCGAGGUUACCAAUGAUCACAUCUUCACCGUAUCUAGCUUUCUUCCAAAGUGAGGACGGAGGAACCACCCCAUCUUUCUCUAAUCCAAGAAAGCUCCAUGAAUGUGUUGUGUGCAGUUUCCUUGCUUUGUUCAAGAAAACUGAUACCAUUUCUGGGUGUUCUGCAUUGAUGAAAAAAAGAUUAAGAAACCAUUAGCAGAGACAAGUAUCCUGAAUUGUCAAUAUUACAAUCAAACAUGUGGAAAAACAGAGGAAACAGGGUUGAAGGAUUUGUCUUCUCUUCUGCUAUUGAUUGAUCAGUUAUUUGACAAUGAAAUACAAGAAUGUAUGACUUGAAGUUCUUACUGGCAAGUGCUCAUGCCUCUUCCUCUUCAAGGACCGCGGCAAAACCAUUUAUGCUGUUAGUGUAAGAGUAAAAGAUUUUCUCCUUUGCCUUCUCUUUGCUGUCAAGUAAGGAUUGCAACAAAUGAGCAAAUUUAAGACACAGUUAAAAGUAUAUAAAAAAAAAAACUUUAAAAAUAUACAUAAACCUUUCAGUGAAUAAUCCCAGCAAUUCAUAAUGAGAAUCUGUGACUCGGUCAAUAACGGCUUGAGUAGGCUCCAAACCAUAUGAAUGUGAUCCCAAAUACACUACAUAAGACUGCGUGGGAAAAAUUGUAAUAUUAACUCCAUUGAUCAAUAUAUAUCUUUACGGAACUUUAGUAGGCAAAAUGAAAAUGAAAAAUACAAAGAAUUUGUCCAAAGCCCAUAAUGAUUUCUAGUACAAAAAAUCAUUGAAAGUUCAUGUAGACGUAAAAGAAGCACACCAUUUUCAAGGAUCAAAGGUAGAGGAAUGAUAUGAUAAAAAAAAGAGAGAGAGAAGCAAAACAUGGUUGCUCACCUUUUUUAUGGAAAAAGUUGGUGGCUGUAAAAGAGAGAAAAUAAAGAAUGAAAGAAGUAAUGGAGAACUGAUAAUUGAAAGCCUCAUUGCUUGAGAAUGAAUAAAUUAUGAGAAGUGUAAAGGGUCUCUGCUUUUCCUCUGUUUUUAUACUCUGUAUUUGAUUGAUUAGUUUCAGAAGCAAAAAAAAUAUUUUGAAUUCGAUUAUAACGGACAUGAAGGGAAAACAUACAUUUUGUAACCAAAAUCUGAAUGAUUUUGAUUUUGUAUCAAGACAAGAGUGUGUUCUAAAAUCACUUGUAAAAGAGAUUUAAAAGGUGUUUGGAAGUCUUCUAGUGAUUGCGGUUAAAAAUAUUUUUUAUUUAAAUUUUUUUAAAAUAUAGUUUUAACUUGUAAAAGAACCAUUUUAACCCAAUAACUUAAGCUAUUAGGUAAGAGGUUUCAGGAUAUGAUUUAUAUUAUUCACUAACACACCCUCUCAAGUAAAAGCCGUUUGAGCUUGAAACUUGCACAUGUUUAUUUUACCUUGUGCUUGAUUUUUUAUCAAACAAAUAAGGAUGGUGAGAUUCGAACUCGUAAUUGCUGUUGAGUUGAGAUGGUUUUUUAACAUGGUAUCAGAGCCUUGAUGAUCAAGGGUUCUCAAGUUCGAAUCUCAGCAUCCUCAUUUAUUUGAUAAAAAUAAAGCACAAGGUAAUGUGAGCCUGUGUAAGUUUCAAACUCAAAUGACUUUCACUUUAAAAAGUGUAUUAAAGAAUAAUAUAAAUUAUAUCUUGGGAUCUCACCUAAUAAUUUAAACUAUCGGGUAAAGAUUGUUAUUUAACAUAACUGUAUUUCCAAACACUGUCUUAAUCGUGUUUGACACAUAUGGCAUGAUAUAUAAUUUAUUUUCAAGUGACUUGAAUAGCUAAUAACCUGCCAACUAUUGCUUAUCAUACCUGAUUGAUAUCUAAAUUAUCUACUAAAAAAUUAUUUAUUUUCAGUGGUUUGGAUUACUAAUUAUUGAUUACAAUUAAUAUAUUUUUCUGUAAGAUUAGAGUGAUGGAAGGUAAAAUUAUUUAUUUCCUGUAGUGUGAUCAGAAUUAAUUUAUACGGUUUUUAAAAUUAAAGAAGAAUGGGUUUUCACAAUUGAAUUCACUAUGUUGCGCGUUGUGAGUAAAUGCAUUGUGGGUUUUAACAGUGAUCUUAUUAUUAAUUUUUUUUUAUCAUCCAAUUUUCUUCCUUUGAAAUUCAUCUUUUAAAGCUGUGUUUUUGAUGCAUGAAGUUUUUCAGUAAAAAAAAUAUAUUUUUUAAGUUAAUUUAUGUUUUUUCUAUUUUUAUUUUUCUAUUCUAUAUUAUUUUUUUAAGGAAUAAUUUUCCUAGUUUUUUUUUUUGCCUAUUCAUUAUUAUUGUGAUUUUCUAGUUUUUUUUUUAUAUGAAGAUUUGUAAUAGCUUUUUUUUAUAUAUAAAUAAAAACUUUGAAUGAAUAAAAAAUAAAUAUUUUAGUUAUUUAUUCAAUAUUAUGAUUCUCGGUAUUUUAAGGAUUUGACUUGUAACAAAUCCUAUAUUCAUCACCCGUAAACUUCAUCAAUUUUCUUGAAAUUAAAUUUUAUUAUUUAUUUUAUUUUAUUCUAUAUGUAUUUAUCACAAUAUCAAUAAAAACUAUUGAUAUGAAUAUUUGACAUUUCAAUUCUUUUAAAAGAAAAAAAGACAAAAAAAGAGAGAAUAUUUUAAAGUCUUCUUUGAUUCCCCCAGCUUCUAAAUGAGUGCCCAUGUACAUUGUUAUAUAUUCUAAUUGGCUUCCCUAGUGGACUUGAGGGUUGAUCCAAUUUAGAUCACUACAAGAUUUCAUAGUUUUACCGAUAAAAAUAUUCUAUUGAUAUGUGACUGAGCGUUCGUUGGUAAAUUAUUUAUCGACUAUAUUACCGACGGAAUACACCCGUCGAAUUCCCUUUUGUCAGUAAUUCCACAUUCUGGUUUUCCAAAAUAGAAAAGAGAAAGUAAUCUCGUGUAUUAUAAAAAAAAUAAAAUUAAUAGGUUAUAAUUAGGUUUUUAACUGGAUCUUGUUGGGUCAACUGGAUCGCCGAGUUUUGUUUUUUUUUAUUUUUUCUUAAACUAGUCCGGUUCCAGUUUCAGAUCGACCUGCCGAGCCGGGUCAGAUUUUAAAACUAUAAUAUAUCACAAUAAAAAAAAUAAAAAAUAAAAAGAAGAAGAAGAAAAGAAAAACAUUGACAUGUGAUAUGAUGAAUCCGUACUAACCCGUGUUGAGGAUAAUAACUAUAUACGUCUAUGGAUGCCUUUUCUUUUCUUCUCUUCCCAUUUCCACGAACCCCCACUUCUUUCUUUCUUUCUUUUCUUUCUCUUCUUUUCUUUCCCGUAUUCUUUGCCGUGUGUCUAUUCUUCCCAUGACCACAACAGGACAGCCAACAGGUAUAAAGAACAUAGACAUUCAUCUGUUGACAUUAAUGCAUCCCUAGCCAGGUUAUUUCUCGUACCAGCAGCGGCAGCGCUAGCUAGCUAGCUAGCUCUAUAGCAUUGAGGAGAAGUACAUCGAACGAUGGUUUACAUGCUGCUUGCUAAUAAGCAAUUAUUUUUUUUCCUUUUCAUUUCACUUAAUCAAUUUUAUACGUAUUUAUUUCUAUUAUCAUUUGAUCAAAUAAAAAUUUAAUUUUGAUAAACAAAAUCAUUAAAUAUAACAAGGUUAAAAGCAUGUGUUGUGAGGUUAAAUAUUUUUGUAUUUAUAUAUGUUUUUUAAUUUUUUAUUUUUCAUCUUCAUUUAUUGUUAAUGAUUGUUUUUCUUCAUUUAUUAAUACACAUGGUUUAUUUAUUUGACUACAUGUAUGUAUAAAUUUUUUGAUUUACACUUUGAAUGUUUUUGUGUAUAGAAAUGUAUUGAAAAUGCCAGCAUGUAUAAUUUUCUUAAUAAAAAAAAUUAUAUUUGAUCCAUGGUGGAAUGCAAGUCAAAUGGCUAGCUAUAUUAACAAAAACAAUAAAUGCAUAGCCUAAACACUGUAAGGAAUUGUAUGCACACAAACACAUAGAACUAUUCAUUGCAAUAGUUAACUUACAGUUUUGUCCUUUGAAUAAUAUAAUAAUCCAAUUUUGAACCCUAAAAAUUUGUUUCAUAAAAAAUAAUCAUUCAAAAAAUUCAAAAAAUUAAAAUUUAAAAUUCAAAAAUAUUUUCUAGACACAAAGAGAUAAGUCUUUGAGCUGCAAAAGAUCAAAAUACUACAUGAAUACUGACAAGAUGACAUUAGAAACCAAAGCAGCACAGCAGUAAUUAACAAUAGUAAUAACAGCCGCAUGGCAACGAGUUAUAAAGCACGAAGAUUAUUGCGUUCUUGGAAGCAGAAUUCCUCGAGGCACUUUCAUGGUAGUGAUCAAUGGAGCCAAGCUGACAAGGUGAAUGAAGAACAUGCAUGUAUUAGGAUUGCUAUAAGAAACGAGUUCGUUUAGAAUGAAUAUAUAGAGCACUAUUGAGCUAGUGAAUGGAACAGGUAGAACUUGAACAUCAUCGAUAUUACCUACCACAAAGAAUGGAAGAUCGCUCGCUGAUUAUUGUAUUUGAAUUGUAAUGAGUAAAAAGAAUGAGGAAAUUCGAGAAAUAAUUUGAAAUUAUCAUUUAACUUCGCAUUACCUGUAGCAUCAUAAACCCUUGAGCCAGUUUGGUUAGCUACCCAAACCAGCUCUUCACCCACGCUCCAUAAGAACUUUCAUCAUCAGGAUCGUAAGUGCCGUCGUAUUGGAGAACUGGUACAUGUUUCACUAUCCAGUAGUCUUGGCCAUUAUUGGGUGACAAUCUCUCAUUGAACUCAUCUGACAUCUUUGCCAAUGAUAGCUGUUUGAGAUUUUUCAAGUGUUGUAUCCCAGAAGGCACCUCCUUCAGACUCUGGCAAAAACCUAUUUCUAGUUUUUCAAGAAGGGGGAUUGCUCCUUGGUCUAUUAUUAUUGUAUUCAAUUCAGUCAAGCCUGCAAGACUUAGAGACUUGAGUUUCUGAAACCCUCCUCCUUCAAAUGCAUUUCUCUCCAUGUAUCCAUGAAGGAACCUAAGAAAUCUUAAAUUGGGCAAACUUUUUUAAUCGAAUCCACCCAUCAACAGAGUACCAGUCAAUCUCAAUUUAGCUAGAUGGUGCAGUCUGGAAAUCCACUCAGGCAGCCUUUCUAGUUUCCCCCAAAGACGGAGAGAUUGGAGGUGAAGAGGAGCAGAAGACAUGGCCUGCAAGUCAAGAAUUGCAACCCCAUAACCCUCUGAAGCAACACCAAGCGACCGCAGGUGAGGCAUAUUCUCUAGGGCAAGGCAUAGAUCCCUUCCAUUUUCUUUCUUCAAAUUCAUGAUCCCCAGUUUCCUUAAUUGCUUCAACAUUCCAAUCUCAUUAAUUAAUUCCCGUUCAUGAUAGUCACCUGCAUUAAUUCCAUAGAGUGUUUGCAACAGCUCUAACUGCCCUAGGCUACCACGUGUUGGUGGGAGGAACCACUGGUGGUGGCUUUGAAACACUCAGAGGGGAUAAAACACACUGGUUUUAUUACAAAAUCCGAAGCUUACAAUUAAUUAAAACAAAAGCUUAAACACACCCUCUUUCUCUCUUUCUCUUUCAAGUGUUUCUCUCUAUUCUCUCCACUCAAAUAACAUAGCUGGCACUCUAUUUAUACAAAAAUACAAAAAUCUACUGUUCCAGGUGUGAAGGCGGCUGUUGACCGGCGGUGUGAAGGCGGCUGGCGGCUGCGGCUGGUGGCUGGCGGCUGCGGCUGGUGGGUGGUUGCCUUCCUUGACCAUCUAGGUGCUUCUAGAUUGAGUUUAUUCAACAAAUCUCCCCUUUAAACUCAAUCGAGGGAUGUCAUGCCAAGCAUGAACUUUAAUCGGAUGAAUACUUCUCCUUUCAAUGGCUUUGUGAAGAUGUCAGCAACUUGAUCAUUUGUGUUGCAAGAUAUCAGUUGGACUUCUUCAUUCUUCACAUGUUCCCGGAUAAAGUGAUGACGUGUAUCAAUGUGUUUGCUCCUCUCAUGAUACACUGGAUUCUUUGCUAAUGCGAUUGCUGAUCGAUUGUCAAUAUAAAUCUCCGUAGGACUUUCUUGAGGAAAUCCCAAAAACUUCAGCAUAUUCCUUAACCAUAUUGAAUGGCAUACGGCUGAGUUGGCAGCUACAUACUCAGCUUCACAGCUUGAUAAUGUGACAAUCGAUUGCUUCUUGGAUGACCAUGUGAAAGAUGUGUCUCCCAUGAAAAAGACAAACCCUGUUGUGCUUUUCCUUUCAUCCAGAUCUCUACCCCAAUCACUAUCCGAGUAGCCUACAAGAUUAAAGUCUUUACUUGAGGUAUAAAACAUACCUUCAUUCAUUGUGCCUUUGAUGUAGCGAAGAAUUCUCUUGGCUGCAUUCAAAUGAGACUGGUCUGGUGUCUCCAUGUAUCUGCUGACGAGUCCGACUCCGUAGAGUAUAUCCGGUCUGGUACAUGUCAAGUACCUUAAGCUUCCUACUAAGCUUUUGAAGUAAGUUGGAUCAACAUUUCCAACCUUACUCUUCCUCAAUUCCACUCCAUUCUCAACUGGAGUUGAUACCGGAUUGCAGCUUUCCAUCUUGAACCUUUCAAGAAUAUCUUUGGCGUAACCGCUUUGGGAUACAAAAAUCCCUUCUUCCUUCUGCGUUACUUCUAAGCCAAGAAAAUGUGACAUUAGACCAAUGUCAGUCAUUUCAAACUCCUGUACCAUGCUUCGUUUGAAGUCGUCAAACAUGGUAGGGUUGUUGCCGGUGAAUAUCAAAUCAUCAACAUACAGGCACAAAUAAGAUGCUGCCAUCUGCUCCUUUCUUCACAUACAUUGCGUGUUCAUAUGGACAUUUUUCAAAUCCAUUAUCUUGAAAAUACCUGUCAAUUCUGGUAUUCCAAGCACGCGGAGCUUGCUUCAAACCAUAGAGAGCCUUCUUCAACUUGUAUACUUUGCCUUCAUUUUCAGCAUCAAUGUAUCCAAGUGGUUGUUCAACAUAGAUUUCUUCUUCUAGGAAGCCAUUCAGAAAUGCUGACUUCACAUCGAGUUGAUAGAUCUUCCAUCUAUGUUGUGCAGCUAGUGAGAUCAUCAGUCUGAUUGUCUCUAGCCGGGCUACUGGAGCAAAUACUUCUCCAUAGUCAAUGCCUUCUCUCUGUUUGUAGCCUUUAGCCACUAAUCUGGCUUUGUAUCUUUGCACUUCUCCUUUGGCGUUCUUCUUCGUCUUGUAGACCCAUUUGACACCUAUUGCUUUCUUGUUUUCUGGUAGAUAAGUCAGCUUCCAGGUAUCAUUCUUCUCAAUGGCAUGUAUUUCUUCAUCCAUUGCUUCUAUCCAUUUCUCUUCUGUGACAGCUUCAUUGAAGCUUAAUGGGUCACUAUCUGCAAAGAAACAAAACAGAGUUGUAUCUUCCAUACCUGAGUGGUAUCGUACAACUCUUCAAGAUUCCGCAUCCUUCUUGGUCUUCUGAUGAGGAUGCUGGUGGUGUUGAUGAUGAUGCUCCUGGUGUGUUCCUCCUGUUGAAUACAGGGAAACUGUGUGCCGGACUUUGUGGUUCAGCUGCUGGCACAAUGGUUCUUCGACAAGUACUGUUGGUACUUCUUCACCUUCAAGGAUCAAAUCAGUUGAUCCAUUUGAUGCUUCUUGAUCACCAUUCCAUGCCCAAGAUUUAUCUUCUUCAAAGAUAACAUCUCUACUCGUAAUCACCUUCUUCGUGAUGGGAUUAUACAGCCUGUAUCCCAUCCUUCUUUCACCAUAUCCGACAAAGAUGCAUUUCUCGCUCUUAUCAUCGAGCUUUCUCCUUCUUGCAUCUGGGAUCUUUGCAUAUGCCACACAACCAAAGACUCGUAGAUGAGUAACACUUGGUUUGUGACCACUCCAUGCUUCUUCUGGAGUGACCUUGCAAACUUCUGGUUGGGCAGCGAUUCAGUAGAUACACUGCACAUGAUACAGCUUCAGCCCAGUAUUGCUUGGGCAGCUUCUUUGCUUUGAGCAAACUUCUGCCAUGUCAAGAAUCGUGCGAUUCUUCCUUUCUGCUACACCGUUCAGCUGUGGUGUAUAAGCUGGCGUCGUCUGAUGUCUGAUGCCUUGUUGUGUACAAUAGGCUUCAAAGUCAUUGCUGUAUAUUCUCCACCUUGAUCAGAUCUCACGGUUCUGAUCGUGUAACCAGUUUGCUUCUCCACAAUUGCUUUAAAAUCUUUAAAACAAUUGAAUACUUCUGACUUCCUCUUCAGAAAGUAUAUCCACGUCUUUCUACUAAAAUCAUCAGUAAAAGUGAGGAAGUACCUAUUUUGUCCAGUCGACAUAGGCGUAAUUGGGCCACACACAUCUGUGUGUACUAACUCCAGUGGCCUCUUUGCUCUCCAGUUGACUUCUUUGGCAAAACUGGAUCUGUGAUGUUUGCUGAGGACACAACUCUCACAGACUUCAUCUGGAUGAUCAAUGUGAGGCAAACCUUUGACCAUCUUCUUGCUUGCUAGCAUCUUCAUACUCGUGAAAUUCAGAUGUCCAAGCCUCAGGUGCCAAAGCCAUUCUUCACUGUUGGUGAUGGCACUCAAACACCUUGUUGCAUCAUACUGGAUGUUCAAAGGAAACAUCCUAUUCUUGGACAUUUUCACGUAGGCCAUUAAUCUCCCAUUGUUGUCUCUAAUUGCCAGAUGACAAUUCUUCGAGUAAAAACUAUAUCCUCUCUCCAAAAGUUGGCCUAAGCUGAUCAGGUUCUGCUUUAUGGCUGGGACAUAAUACAUCGGCGAUGUAGCUGGAAUCGCCAUUCUUCAACUUGACUGGGAUGUUGCCUUUACCUUUGAAUGGAACCUUUGUGGUAUCUCCAAAAGUAACUAGACCUUGCUUGGUCUCAUCUAGAUCACCAAAUAACUCUCGGUAGCCGCACAUGUGAUUGCUGGCUCCAGUAUCUAGAUACCAUAUUUCUCCUGUUUCUCGCCAUGUUCUUGUUGGACAAGAAAUGCAGAUGCUUCUCCAUCAUGCUUCUCUACAUAGUUGGCUUGCUCACGUGUCUCCAACGGAGCUUUCCAUCGCAUUCAGUGCUAUAGUGCCCAAAUUGAUUGCAGCUAUAACAUUUGAUAUUUCUCUUGUCACGGUUAUUGUAACCGCCUCCUCUUCCUCUAGGAGUGAAUGCUUGUUGUCCUCGGCCUCCUCUGGUGGUGUUUCUGCCACCUCUUCCUCUGAAGCUUGUAUUCCAAGAUCCUCUUCCUCUUCCUUGGAAUCUAUGAAAUCCUCCUCUGGAUUGUUGACUUCCUGCUUGAGUGGUGUAGCCACUGUUGAAGUCUCCCCUUGCUCAUAUCUGUCCUUGAAAGACAGCUUUGCUUGUAAGGCAUGCUCAAUGGCCUUAUCUUCAUUUCGCAUUACAAUCUUCUGCUCAUGAGCUUGCAAAGAACUCAUAAGCUCAUCCACUGUCAACUUGUCCACUUCCUUGGACUCUUCAAUUGCGACAACAACAUGAUCAAAUUUUGGAUCUAUGGAUCUCAAAAUUUUCUCAAUAAUUCGAGUAUCAUGAGGGCUUCUCCAUUUCUCUCAUCUGAUUGACUAUCACCAUAAUCCUUGUAUGAUAAUCAGAAAUAGACUGAGGACUUCAUUCGUAAUAAUUCGAAUUCUCCUCUCAAAGAUUGAAGACGAAUCUUCUUGAUUCUGUCAGCACCUUUGUAUUUCUGUUGGAGAGCCUCCCAUAUAUCAUGUGACGUUUCAGCGGAAGCUAUUAUCUCGAAUGUAUCUUCAUCAAGACCUUGAUAGAUGAUGGUCUUUGCUUGUUGUCCUUCUUUCUGUUGACUUUAAGGCUUGCUUCUGUGCCUCUUGUAAAGCAUCUUCUCUUUCUUUGGACUCUGGUUCAUCAUAACCAGUUUGUACAAUAUCAAAACUCUUGUGACCCAAGAAAUGCCUUCAAUCUGAUGCACCAACUAUCAUAGUUGUCUUUGGUCAGCUUCGGGAUGAGUGUAUGUGUACCUUCUGUAGUCAUUUUGCUCUUUUAAUGACUAUAUCACCUUCUGGGAGCCGAAUUUGACCAAACGGACACUGUAGAUCGAUCCGGAAUGGUCCAAAUAGUCGGGAACCGGUCUGACUUUGUUGAAAUCGGGUCAGCAAAUGGGUGAACCGGUCAAAAAACCAAUUCUGUACGGCGGGCGGUUCGCUGGGUUGAACCGGGAAUAUUCUGUGGAAUAUUCUGGGGAAUAUUCGGGGAAUAUUCUGGGGAAUAUGCUUGGGAAUAUUCUGGGGAAUAUUCUUGGGAAUAUUCGUGGAAUAUUCUGGGGAAUAUUCCUUCGGCUCGGCUGAGGCUGGAACGCGGCUCGGCUCGGCUCGGGGGUACGGCUCGGCUUGUGGCUCGGCUUAGGCGGCUUACACGGCUCGAAUAUGGCGCGCGUGUGGCUCAGUCGUCUUCAACCUCGGGGCGCGUGGGAUGCGCGUGGGCGAUCUGGCUGAAUAUUCAGACUGCGCGUGUGGGCUACCCCGGACUCCGAUUUGGCUGAUUUUUGCGGCAGUGAGUUCGUCUUGAUGAGCUCUACACUGUGGAAUGAUCAAAACUUGUUUUUGACAAUUUUGAAAAUUCGGAUAUACCCCAAAACUCUUCUGUUUUCCGACGAACGGGGCUCUGAUACCAAUUGUUGGUGGGAGGAACCACUGGUGGUGGCUUUGAAACACUCAGAGGGGAUAAAACACACUGGUUUUAUUACAAAAUCCGAAGCUUACAAUUAAUUAAAACAAAAGCUUAAACACACCCUCUUUCUCUCUUUCUCUUUCAAGUGUUUCUCUCUAUUCUCUCCACUCGAAAUAACAUAACUGAGCACCCUAUUUAUACAUAAAUUCAGAAUACAAAAAUCUACUGUUCCAGGUGUGAAGGCGGCUGUUGACCGGCGGUGUGAAGGCGGCUGGCGGCUGCGGCUGGUGGGUGGUUGCCUUCCUUGACCAUCUAGGUGCUUCUAGAUUGAGUUUAUUCAACACCACGUACAAGGAGCCCCAAACCCCCUUUAGGAUUACCCAAAAGAUAUCGCAAUUUAGGGAAUCUGUUAACCUCAACUGGCAACCUUUCCACCAAGGAAUAACUCAAGUCUAAGAACUCCAGGUUUUGCAGCUUCCCAAUUGAUUUUGGAAGAUUUGACACCAGUGUCUCUCUUAAGCUUAAAUACUUCAGGUGCAGCAAAUUUCCCAACUCUUUUGGAAUUUCAUCUAUCGGACACUUUUCAAAAUCUAAUGUAGUCAACAGCUUACAUUUUUCAAAUAUUGCAUCAAUUAUUGGCUUUUGCAGCUUUGCCCCGCAGAAGACCAUGACAGAGCGAGUUUGAGACCUGGUGCUUCCCUUUGGGUUGUCACUUCCGCCCUUGCUUAUGGACAUGUGUCGUGCUAUGCCUUUGAAAGCUGAGGAAUUCCAAGAAACAUGGCCGAAACUUAAUUCUUCUGACCUGGAAAAAAUGACGUCUCGUACCAGAUCAUGCACUCGACAUGUUGUGGGAAUUCCUUUCAUGCUAGCUUCAUCUACUUGGACUAGACUUCGACGAAUGAGUCCAUUCAAGCACUCUUCCGCGGCUUCUUCUAAUGUCAAUCCUCGUUUUUCUUGUACAAAACCUUGAGCCACCCAUAACCGAAUUAUUCUUGUACGUUUGAUGGAGAAAUCUUCGGGAAGCAUCCCGAAAUACAAGAAACAUGCUUUGAGGUCGUAAGGAAGGUCGUGAAAACUGAGAGAGAGAAUUUUAGUGACAUUCUCAACAUGAGGAUCACUCGCCAUUGUAGAAUCGAGACUAUUGACCACUUUUUGCCAUUCUGGAAUGACCCUUUCUUUGGUUGCUAGAAGUCCACCAACAGCCACAAUUGCCAGUGGCAAUCCACCGCAUCUUCUAACAAUGUCUUGCGACAAUUCCUCCAAAUCUUUUGGACAAUUCCUUCAAAAUCAAACUUGAAUGCCUUUUUGCAGAAGAGUUCCCAAGCUUCUCGUUGAGGGAGAGAUUUCAUCUGAUAGACAUGAACCAAUGAAGAUCUCCUGCAAAAGUUAGCAGCAUCCUCAUUUCUUGUCGUGACCAGUAUUUUGCUACAUUUGUUGUUAUCCACCAAGGCAUGCUCCACAUCUCCCCAGAAGCGGAUUUCCCACACAUCAUCGAAUACAACUAAAUACCGUUCUUGCUGUAAAUAUUUUCUAAGUUCAUCAAUCAACGAUAAAGCGUCCAUUGUGACAAAGGCCUCAGGAAAAGGCUCUUUCUUAGCUUCAUAUAAUUUCUUUAACGUGCUCCUUAGGAGUUCCACCCUAUCGUAUGAUUGAGACACAGUAAUCCAAGCACGGCAUUGAAAGUGUUGUUUCACUACGUAGCUGUCAUAUACUUUCUUCGCAAGAGUGGUUUUUCCAACUCCUCCCAUUCCAACCACCGCGAUCACUGUCCUCUGACAUUCUCCGCUUACCAAGAGGCUUAUCAAUUCAUCUUUUGUAGAUUCAAUGCCAACAAGCUCGGAAUCUUCAAUGAAAUGAGAACCUAAUCGAGGAUCAUGCAAGACAAUGUUACUUGAGCCUCCCUGCUCUGAAGAUGCGAACCGGAAUCCUUCACUUCUGUCCUUGAUUCUCUGAAGAGUUUUUCUAGCACCAUGAAUCUCUGAUGCGAUCUUAUGGCGUAGAGGCAAUUUCCGAACCAAGGAAGAGACUUUAGUUAAGAAGCCCGGAGCACACGCCGAUCACGAUGUUGUGCCACAUGAAGCGUAUUAUAUUCGUCAAUGACAUCUUCAAUCUGAUAAGCAACUUCCCUUGCUUGCUUUACCCAUACUUUCACACCUUCGCUCGCACCUUCUCUCUCAGCCUUUGAGUCUGCAUCUUUCAGAAAAGCUCUGAUGGCCUCCAGAUCAUCUUUGAUAUCUACAACUUCUUUGUGAACACCUUUCAGUAGUUGCACCCCUUGAGCUAGCAAUGGAGCCAACUUGUCAAUUACAAGACUCACUGCUGACUCUGCCAUUUUUUCUACUCCUUUCUAUUUGAUCUUCUUUGCUGCGAGAACAAAUUUUGAAUUUAGGCUCCUUGAAGUAAUUAAAUUAUUGUAGGUUGGUCAUGUUACAAAAUUAUUGUAACUGGGUGUACCAGCCUUGUAUAUCUUCGGUGAUUCCACCAUAGAUAUAACAAAGUUAUACCAGUUACUUGUUUCAAGAUUAUUUACCAAAUAUACCUUCAACGUAUUUUUAUCAAAAUUAUUUCCUUUUUUCAAAAAAAAAAAAAGCCUUUAAAUUAUGAUCUAAAAUCCGAAGUCUAUUUUCAUAAAUAAUUUCAAACGAACUCUAAAUUCAUAUAUUAAUGUAGAAAUUGAAAAUGAAAGAAAGCUUAUCUAUUACAAUUCACAACGUGUAAUAAAAAGACAAACCUCAUAUGAUCUCCAAUCCGAAUAUAGCUUUUAGAAUUCAGCUACACACCAAUAUCCCAGUUGGUCAGUACGUACCCCUUGCCUUCUUUAUAUUUAGAAGAGUUAAUUUGCUGAGAAGUUAUGGAUUUGGUUCCAGCUGGAGGAAGGAGACCAUCUGAUCCACCGUCGCCAUAAUUAAGUGCUUGCUGCUUCAACUCCUCGAUCUCUGUGAUAUACCGGUGCUCUCUCUCUCUCUUGCAGUAUUGUUUUCAUUGUGCAGUGAACCAACUUAUGUACGCUGUGAAUUAAUGGCUAGAAUUGUCCAGUGUUGUCGAAGUUUAUAUGGUUGCUACAGCAGACAAAUUAAUUUUAGACAUUUCUUUAAAAAAUGUGAACCACUAGACCCUUUAUAAAAAUCAGAACUUUCUUUUCUUUUGAAAAAGUUAAAGAGAUAAUCUCAUCAACUAGGAGGCCAAAAAGUACUGGGAGGCCAAAUUAUAUAUAUAUAUAUAUUGGUUAAGGAAGAUCAAAUAUACAAGAUUGAAAAUUUCAACAGUGUAUUUUCAACUAAUAAAAUCUAUAUUGGCAAAGAAAAUCCAAUUAGAGGAUGAAAAUUCAAAAUUAGAUAUUUAAGAACUCAAUUGAAAUUUUCAGGGUUUAUUUGAAUUUAUUGAGGGCUUAAUUGCAAGAAAUUGAUUUUUAAAGUCAAUAUAGGCUUUAAUUAGAAGAAAUUAAAGUCUGGGGGUUGAGUUGUAAUUUUUAAAAGUUAAUUUGGUCAGGUCAUGGACUUAAUUGUAUACAUAUCAAAGCUUGAUGGGCAAUUAGAAACUUAAUUGAAGAAAUCCAAAACUAAGCACCAACUUAAAAGAGGUGCGUUAAUAUAGGAGUUGAAAGUGACCCAAUCGGGGGAUAAAUUAAAGAAAUUUAAAGUUUGUUAGUCAAUUGAAGGUCAAAAUACAAAAAUUCAGAACAAAGAAUCAAAAUGAAAAAAAACAGCCAAUUUAGGGGCUCAUAAUUGAGUUUGUCAGUGGUGAAAUUGCUUGAAAUUAAAAGUUUGAAAGUGAUUAUGGGUGCAAUGAAAAGAAAUUACGAAGGAAUUGGGGCUUAAUUGAAAUUUUUUAAUCUCAAAUUAAAUACCCUAAACGAAACAUCGUUGAGACUUAAAGAAGAGAAAUUGAGUGACAUGUCAAUUGUCCUUUGUUUUUUUACAGUUUUGGCUAAUCGAGUUGGCAACUUCAAAUGUAUGAAUAUGAAGCUACAGACCUUCAAAUUGAGCAAAGUUAAAUUCAAAUGAAAUGUGUGUAUUUCUUCUACUAAUUUCAGGUGGUCUCUAGCGAUGAUGACAUCAAAAUUCCUCUAAUGAAGCCUUGAAAGUGGGCAACCCAGACAAACAUAACAAUACAACUAUCAUGUAAAAACUGACCUAUUUUUCAUGUGUUCACACACAAAGCCUUCUCAAUGGGUCCUUAUCAAAGGGUUUAUAGCACAUGCCUUAAGAUCAAGAGGUCAAAAUGUGUUUAAAACCUUCUAAAACCCUAAAAAACCCUAUAAAUAUCCCUCAAGCUUAAAGAUAGGCGAGGAAAAAAAAAGAAAUAUCAAUAAAAAAAACACAAGUGUAGAGGUCCAAGAGCCUAAACAAAAGAUUUCUUAGCUUUACAAGUUUAUAAGAGGUAAAAAUUUCCAAAAGAAAACAAAUAGAGAGUAGUUGUUUUAAAUAUAUUUUUCUAAUCCAAAAGGAGGUCAUUUAUGACCUGCUUUUGAUGUUUUUUUUAUUUACUUUUGUUUUAUAUUUAUGUUUAUAAACAAAGAAAAGAGGUUUGAAAGCUCAACAAGUAAUGUUGUAUUCACCUUUUUGUUGCUGUGUUUUUUUUUAAUGAUGUUUAUUUUGAAGAUUUUUUGUAUUUUUAAUACAAUAAAGUUGUUGUUUAAGUUUUAUAUAUAUAAUGUUUAUUUUAGUUGUUUUUUUUUUUACAUUAAGCUAUGCAUGUUUAAGUAAGAGUGUUUUGCCAUGAGUUUGCUAGGUUUGCUGUAAACAUAUAGUCUAUUUUAAGUUUAUGUUUUUUUUAUUUGGUACCUCUUAUUUGAUUUUGAUGUUUUUUUGCUAGUUUUUCAUAUUCAAAAAUGUUUUUAUAUGAUAUUGUAACUUGUUGGGAUAAAAAAAAGUAUGUUUUAGAAGCUAAAAAUACUCAUAUUUGGGCUUGAUAGUGAUUGCCGUUUCAAGGCAUUUUUCUGAUUUUGAGGCAAUAUGCUUUGUAUUCUUGGAAAGAAAAUUGUCUUAGCCUUUAGAUUUGGAUCAAUUUUGAUCAAUUUCUUCUUUUUUAUGCAUGAUAAAAAAAAAGUAUGUGUUUGUCAAUUUUUAUUACAAAUUGAUUUUAAUUGAUAAAUUCAUUAAACACAAUCAGGUAAAUGACCUGUGUUGCACUAUUAAAUAUUUUGAUUUAUAUUUAUUUUUUAAUUUUUUUUAUUUACAUUUUAUUGUAAUUAUCUUCUUUUUUAUCAUAUUAUCAAAUUAAUUUAUAGAAUCUCUUUCACUUUUUUUAAAACAUUAUCAUUUUUUUUUUUCAAGUUAAAAAAAAAAAUUGAUCAUGCUCCCGAUAGCGCGCAGACCAUCAAUCCAGUGAAGGCAUGAACAACGUUCUGUUCACAAACCAUCAAUGAUUUCAUGUUUCGACAUCUCGAAUGCAGGACUCUUAUGAGUGUUCCUUCUGCAAUCCAGUUGAUCAAGUACGCAUAACUUUUAAAGAUGAUGGACUGGAAACUGGAAUGGAAUAGAAAGAAAAAUGCAGCAUGAAACCAUAAUUAAUUGAAACCAUUAAAAGCUGACAGACAUAGUUGCCCAAAAGUAUGAGCUGGUAACUGCACACACACACACACACACAUGCACACAUGGUUUGGUGAUCCUUCAAGGUGAAAAAUAGCAGUGUCAUUGUAUGAAACAAAAAUUCUAGGUGAAAGGGACUUAGCUAUGUUGAAAUUUAUCAAAGCAAAACCGUGAGGUGACAUGCUUUCAAGUGAUUGUUUUUCCUGUUCUGAAGGGCUGUUGUGAGUUUUCUAUAUGAUUGAGUAAGAAGGGUUUAAGCUCGGUUUGAACUUUUGUUUCUGUACAUUUGAAGUUGGAAAUGAUUUCAUUUACAGAUAUUCUUUUCCUUAAAGAUCUAUGAUUUGUCUCCCUUGACAUCUCUUGAUUUUUAAAUGCCUAACAAUUGAUGCAUGACAGCACAUGCAUGUCUCUUUGUUUUAUAAAUUUGAAAGUUUUCUUCAAGUGCCACAGGGGGGGCUUGUCUAAGAUAAAUAGUCAGUUAUUUCUAUAUGCAGAGUGACAGUAAGCUAAGUGAGCAUGAAAGAUACAACGGGCAUUUUUUAUUUUCCUACUUAUUUACUUCCUACGGGCUUUACUUUCUUGUAAGAAAAAUGCUUUCAUUUGUUCCAUAAAGCAGUCAUUUCUGAUAUAUGUGAUACUUGUAUAGAGCGGGCUGCCCUCUUUCAUUGUCUAGGGACCAUUUGCAGCAGUCCCGCACACAAGUGGCUGCCCUACUUUUUUUCAUGACAAACUGCUUUACUUUUUUCCUGCAUCGUCUAAGUCUUUUGAAUUCAUGCUGAAAGUUGUUUGAGGAAUUCCUCGAUCAAAUGUGAUUUUCUGACGUUUCCAUAUUUCCUUUGGAUUACCCUGAAGCUGCCGAGAUCUUUUGAGUGUGGAAUGUGACUUAUCAGUAUGGGAGGAUCUGAAUUUGAAAGUACUUCACUCUCCCAAAGGGAAAUGCUGAUCGCAUCUAUCACCUUCUCCUCUCUUGUUGCUGUAGCCUGGAUAGUCUUCCAUCUUAAAAUCAUCACGUUCCAAAUUGUUCCAGUGGCAGAAUGGAGGUGAUGUUUUGGGGGUUACAUGAAUUUCCCCAUAAGCUUGUAGCAUGUCAUUCGCAUUCCCAAAGAAGUUUCCCACAAGCUCCUUAUGCAUCCUAAGAUAUAAUGCCAGAGAACAGGUAACAAUAACGAGUAUGUCCAGUUAUCUUAUGAUUAAUUGAGCCAAACAACUAUAGAUAUUGUCACGACCCGAUUCCCGGAUCUAAAACCGGCACAUAGACAAAGUUUCCCUCCAAGGUUUUAUACCAAUGCGAACCCAAACUUAUAUAUAAUCCUAUUCUUUAAACAACUCAAUAAGAGUUCAACACAACAUUAAUUAACAACAAACUAACUUCAUAAUACAAUUCAAUUGUUUUAAUACAAGAGUUAAUAUAAUUUUAUAGUUUUGGAGCACUAACUAGACAUAAAAGAAAAGGUACAAAUUACAACAAAAAAGCAGGUUCAGAAGGUUCAACAAAAAUAACCUGCUAUCAAGUUAUUAGCCUGAAAAGAUAAAUAAUAAGAGAGCGAGUUCAACAACUCAGUAAGUAGAUAACGUUCAAUACACACAUACGAGGUAAUAUAACAAUGAGAAUUAUAUAUACAAGUAUGGCUCUAGUUUCUUAUAGGAAGGUUUCUCAAAUAGACCAUAACAAAAAGAUUAUACGGUAAAGCUCGUCAAAAAAUCAAAAUGCAAUGAGCAUGAUCGAUGUUCUGUAUUGUGGGAUGAUCAGUCCACACACUUUUCAAACACGCACCAAACAGGACAUGUAAACAAGGAUGCAACUAAGUCGUGAAAGACUUCACAUCGUGAUAACCAGGGUAGAAAGAAAGAAAGAAAGAAAGAAAACUACAAACUAAGUUAUCCUACGUGGAUUCGGUGCGUCGACAGACAACAGGGUCAUGUGCAUAUCCAUGUUAAUGCAGAUGUCAGAAACAUAUCAGAUAGAUUGGAAACAAGAGUUUCAACAAAUAGAGAAAUGAGUAUCUAAAUAAAAUAACGCUACAGUGCAUGUAAAGUUAACUUGCAGUACUAAACAUGAUCAAGCUGAAUUAACAAUAAUGACAACAGGAAGAUGAAGAUUUGAUGGAACUAAUCAGUAAUCUCUUGAGCAGGAUCAUGUCAACUCUUAGAAAGAAAAGCAAGAAAACUUUAAUCUGAUAAGGCAAUACUACCCUGGACUACGCCAAAUAUUGUAACAGAAAAUCGAUAGCAAGUGGAGGAGGACAUGGACCUGUUGCAAGGAACACCUUCUUUGGUUGCAUUCUGACAGAUUCCUCUCCACUUUGAUGGAACUGGACCCAGUCCCUCAUCACUAAAGCUCUUCGAUUCCAAUGUCGAUUAGUUUCUUACUAAUGACAAAGAUUUAGUACUCACCAGUGUCGAGGUUACCAAUGAUCGCAUCUUCACCGUAUCUAGCUUUCUUCCAAAGUGAGGACGGAGGAACCACCCCAUCUUUCUCUAAUCCAAGAAAGCUCCAUGAAUGUGUUGUGUGCAGUUUCCUUGCUUUGUUCAAGAAAACUGAUACCACGUC
rnacentral:lncRNA from 1 species